rnacentral:rRNA from 1 species
AGAGUUUGAUCCUGGCUCAGAACGAACGCUGGCGGCAUGCCUAAUACAUGCAAGUCGAACGAGCCCUUCGGGGUUAGUGGCGCACGGGUGCGUAACGCGUGGGAAUCUGCCCUUGGGUUCGGAAUAACGUCUGGAAACGGACGCUAAUACCGGAUGAUGACGAAAGUCCAAAGAUUUAUCGCCCAGGGAUGAGCCCGCGUAGGAUUAGCUAGUUGGUGAGGUAAAGGCUCACCAAGGCGACGAUCCUUAGCUGGUCU